rnacentral:tRNA from 1 species
CAAAAAAUAGUUUAAUUAAAAUAUUAAUUUUGGAGAUUAAUGAUAGAAAUUAAAAUUCUUUUUUUGA